GACGUAGGAGGCGAGCGUUGUCCGGAUUCAUUGGGCGUAAAGAGCACGCAGGCGGUUUGGCAAGUCGGAUGUGAAAACCCGAAGCUCAACUUCGGGCCUGCAUCCGAAACUGCCCGACUAGAGGUAGGUAGGGGAGAUCGGAAUUCCGUGGUGUAGCGGUGAAAUGCGCAGAUAUCAAGAGGAACACCAGUGGCGAAGGCGAGUCCCUGGACGAUACCUGACCACUGAGGCACGAAAGCUAGGGGAGCAAACAGG
rnacentral:rRNA from 1 species